rnacentral:rRNA from 1 species
AGACGAACCGUCCAAACGUUAUUCGGAAUUACUGGGCUUAAAGGGUGCGUAGGCGGCCCGAUAAGUUGGGUGUGAAAUCCCACGGCUCAACCGUGGAACUGCGCUCAAUACUGUCGGGCUUGAGGGAGAUAGAGGUGAGCGGAACUAAUGGUGGAGCGGUGAAAUGCGUUGAUAUCAUUAGGAACACCUGUAGCGAAAGCGGCUCACUGGGUCUCUGCUGACGCUGAGGCACGAAAGCUAGGGUAGCGAACGGGAUUAGAUACCCCAGUAGUCC